rnacentral:rRNA from 1 species
UGGGGAAUAUUGCACAAUGGAGGGAACUCUGAUGCAGCGACGCCGCGUGAACGAAGAAGGCUUUCGAGUCGUAAAGUUCUUUUAUAUGGGAAGAUAAUGACGGUACCAUAAGAAAAAGCCCCGGCUAACUACGUGCCAGCAGCCGCGGUAAUACGUAGGGGGCGAGCGUUGUCCGGAAUCACUGGGCGUAAAGGGUUCGCAGGCGGAAAUGCAAGUCAGGUGUAAAAGGCAGUAGCUUAACUACUGUAAGCAUUUGAAACUGCAUAUCUUGAGAAGAGUAGAGGUAAGUGGGAUUUUUAGUGUAGCGGUGAAAUGCGUAGAUAUUAAAAAGAAUACCGGUGGCGAAGGCGACUUACUGGGCUCAUGCUGACGCUGAGGAACGAAAGCGUGGGUAGCAAACAGG